rnacentral:rRNA from 1 species
AUUGAACGCUGGCGGCAGGCCUAACACAUGCAAGUCGAGCGGGGUUUUCGGACCUAGCGGCGGACGGGUGAGUAAUGCGUAGGAAGCUACCCGAUAGAGGGGGAUACCAGUUGGAAACGACUGUUAAUACCGCAUAAUGUCUACGGACCAAAGUGUGGGACCUUCGGGCCACAUGCUAUCGGAUGCGCCUACGUGGGAUUAGCUAGUUGGUGAGGUAAUGGCUCACCAAGGCGACGAUCCCUAGCUGGUUUGAGAGGAUGAUCAGCCACACUGGAACUGAGACACGGUCCAGAUGCCUACGGUGGGCAGCAGUGGGGAAUAUUGGACAAUGGGCGCAAGCCUGAUCCAGCCAUGCCGCGUGUGUGAAGAAGGCCUUCGGGUUGUAAAGCACUUUCAGUAGGGAGGAAGCGUUGUGUGUUAAUAGUACACAGCGUUGACGUUACCUACAGAAGAAGCACCGGCUAACUCUGUGCCAGCCGCCGCGGUAAAAC